AGGCAGCAGUGGGGAAUAUUGCACAAUGGGCGCAAGCCUGAUGCAGCGACGCCGCGUGAGGGAUGACGGCCUUCGGGUUGUAAACCUCUUUCGCCAGGGACGAAGCGCAAGUGACGGUACCUGGAGAAGAAGGACCGGCCAACUACGUGCCAGCAGCCGCGGUAAUACGUAGGGUCCGAGCGUUGUCCGGAAUUACUGGGCGUAAAGAGCUCGUAGGUGGUUUGUCGCGUUGUUCGUGAAAACUCACAGCUUAACUGUGGGCGUGCGGGCGAUACGGGCAGACUUGAGUACUGCAGGGGAGACUGGAAUUCCUGGUGUAGCGGUGGAAUGCGCAGAUAUCAGGAGGAACACCGGUGGCGAAGGCGGGUCUCUGGGCAGUAACUGACGCUGAGGAGCGAAAGCGUGGGGAGCGAACAGGAUUAGAUACCCUGGUAGUCCACGCCGUAAACGGUGGGUACUAGGUGUGGGUUUCCUUCCUUGGGAUCCGUGCCGUAGCUAACGCAUUAAGUACCCCGCCUGGGGAGUACGGCCGCAAGGCUAAAACUCAAAGGAAUUGACGG
rnacentral:rRNA from 1 species